rfam:Schistosoma mattheei strain Denwood, Zambia genome assembly, scaffold: SMTD_scaffold0007377
AUCCAUCUGACGAGUUCCAAAUAAAACGAAACAUGCGUCCUGGAU